GGCCGGGUGCCCGAGUGGACCAAGGGGGCGGAUUGCAAAUCCGCUUGCGUAAGCAGUCAUGGGUUCGAAUCCCAUUCCGGCCU
rnacentral:tRNA from 1 species